CCGGGUGACCACAAGGGCGGGGCCACACCUGAAUCCAUUCCGAACUCAGAAGUUAAGCCCGUCCUGCCGAUGGUACUGUUUCAAGCGGGAGAGUAGGUCGUUGCCCGGU
rnacentral:rRNA from 1 species